rnacentral:misc_RNA from 1 species
UUUCCGUAGGUGAACCUGCGGAAGGAUCAUUAUUGAAUAAACUUGAUGGAUUGCUGCUGGCUCCUUGAGCAAUGUGCACGUCUGUCAUUUUUAUCUUUCCACCCUGUGAACUUGUGCAUACAUCUGAAUAUCUUUUGAUCAAUCCAAUUGAUCUUUGGAAACUGCUGUUUUAGAAACAGCUUUUUCUGUAUUCAGAUGCUAUGAAAUUUUAUAUAUACUCCAAGUAUGUCUAUGAACGUUAUUGAAGGCUUUGAAAGCCUAUAAAUAUAUUAUACAACUUUCAGCAACGGAUCUCUUGGCUCUC